UGGGGAAUAUUGCACAAUGGGGGAAACCCUGAUGCAGCGACGCCGCGUGAGCGAAGAAGGCUUUCGAGUCGUAAAGCUCUGUCCUAUGGGAAGAUAAUGACGGUACCAUAGAAGAAAGCCCCGGCUAAUUACGUGCCAGCAGCCGCGGUAAUACGUAAGGGGCGAGCGUUGUCCGGAAUUAUUGGGCGUAAAGAGUGCGUAGGCGGCAAAUUAAGUCAGAUGUGAAAACUAAGGGCUCAACCCAUAGAUUGCAUCUGAAACUGAUAUGCUUGAGUCAAGGAGAGGAAAGUGGAAAUCCUAGUGUAGCGGUGGAAUGCGUAGAUAUUAGGAGGAAUACCGGUGGCGAAGGCGACUUUCUGGACUUGAACUGACGCUGAGGCACGAAAGCGUGGGGAGCAAACAGG
rnacentral:rRNA from 1 species